CGGCGGCGCGAGGAACAGGGCAGCAGAUUCGGAUGCCGCGAGCGGGAUGCGGUGUCCUCAGCGGAGCCUUAAAGGGAUCUUAGGUGAUCUUAGGGGACCUAAGGGGGCCCCUAAGGGGACGGUCGGCCGCGAGUUGGCGUCGAAGGAUAAGGGAGGACUUGGCGGAAGAGGAGACGAGAGAAGAAGAGCGACGGACAGGCGAUUGCAGUGCGAGGACCAAUAAGCUUUUCAGAUUCCCACACCUGUUGCGGGAAAUAUCAUAGGCGGAGAGGAUCGUGUGCAAAAGCAAAGGGUAUUUGGCGAGUGGGCUUUUGGGUAGAAGUAAUGAAAAAGAGUGCGUGUCCUUGGCGUGGUGCUGAGGCGCGAACACCAGCUCGAUGGACUUGGGCAUCGUCAGUUCUGUUGGGAUGUGCAAAGGGACGAUAUAUAGGUCUAUGGAUUACCUUUUUGAACGACGCCACAGGAUCUGUUUAUAUCUCGAGGGGGAAUGCUGAGUUAACGGUCUCGUCCCAACGACUUCCACCUCUACCACUUUCCAUUGGCGUAGUCUUUCUACACAAGGCUAGAAAAAAGAAGAGAGAGAGAUAGAGAAGAGAGAGAGAGAAAAAAAAAAUAUAUACAUGCAGCUGUUUUAGUAUGCUCUGUGUUAUACCUUUAGGUACGAUUCAUCAGUAGGUUAUAUAUAGAUAACGUUUCGCCUGUAUCUUAACACCUCGUUGGCUCAAAACCCCGUCUCUUAAAGGUUGUUUAUAUUGGAGAAUAGCUUCAUCUUUGAGGUUAAAGUGUCCGGUUGCUUAGUAGGCCACGAGGCACAUUUAUCACAAGAACCCUCUUUAUAAAAAAAAAUAUUACAUGAAAAUUAUUUCACAAUUCUCCUGGUGCAAUAUCAAAAGACUAUGUUUUUUUCUUCAAUUCAGCUUUCCGAAAUAUACGUAUCUACUGGAUAUAGAGUACAACUCAGACCUAACCAUGCAUCGAAAGUAAGUGAUAAAAAAAAAUCACCCAGAUUUUUUUCGCGUUGGUUCUGUAUGUUGUGUAGUAACUGAUGUCA